CACCGCCGCGGUAAUACGGAGGGUGCAAGCGUUAAUCGGAAUUACUGGGCGUAAAGCGCACGCAGGCGGUCUGACAAGUCAGAUGUGAAAUCCCCGGGCUUAACCUGGGAACUGCAUUUGAAACUGUCAGGCUGGAGUCUUGUAGAGGGGGGUAGAAUUCCAGGUGUAGCGGUGAAAUGCGUAGAGAUCUGGAGGAAUACCGGUGGCGAAGGCGGCCCCCUGGACAAAGACUGACGCUCAGGUGCGAAAGCGUGGGGAGCAAACAGGAUUAGAUACCCCAGUAGUCCCUGUCUCUUAUACA
rnacentral:rRNA from 1 species